GGUUGGAGAAUGUGACAGAGGACAAGAAUAGAAUACAGUUAUAGAACUGGAAUUCGCUUUUUCAUGCUAAUUUCCCUGGUAAUGAAGGGCAGUGACUCAGAAAAGGAAAGGCAAGCCUCUGGCAGCAAGGCUGUGUGUAGAUUCGUCUAUACCAAGGGAAGGAUGGUGGGGAGGCAGGGAGGAGACAAAAGAAAAGAAUUUCGAAUUCCAGGAUUGGCCAAAUAUGAAGAUGAUCUCAGUCUGGCCAAGUCCAGGACCUUCUCUUUCCCUCACCUAUCGCCUGAGCCCAGAAAUACGUUCCAGAGGACAAGGACUGUGUUGUUCAUCACAGUAUUCCAGAACUUAAAAGGAACUGGCACAUAAUUGGAGCUUACUAAUAUUCGUCAAAAAAAUGAACAAAUGAGGCAAUGACAGUGGUCUUGUGAAGCUGCUGCUAUUUACAGGGACUCACUCAUUCCGCAAGUAUUUUUUGCACCUCCUACCACACUCCACUCAGUUACAUGCUGGGAAUACCACAGUAAAGUCCUCAAUCUCCCUGUAGGAAGCUUGGGGAAUGUGCCUCCUGCCCUCUUCUGGACUAGUCAGCAUGCUCACCAAGCACACUAAAGCCACCCAAGUCACAGCUGACUCAUGCCAUUGCUCUUUGUAAUGAGAAGAGCUGUUUAUCCCUCUUCUCAUUUCUGCCCCGCUCUGAGCCCUGAGUUUUAGUGCCAGUGCUUUUACACAAAUCCAGCUUUACAUCUUGAGUGAAAUAUAAUUUCAUAGGAAUGUAAUUCUGGAAUGAUCUCAUUGAAAAAGCACAUCCAGCAAAGGCCAUGAGCAGACUUCAGGCCAGCCCAUUCACACCCAGAGCCAAGAAGACUGCAGACCCCUUUCCCUUAAAUGGAGAAUGUGCCUGGGACCCAAAGCAAAGCACACCAGCUACCUAGGGAUAUUCUCCUGCCUACAGCCAGCCAGCCUGCCUGCCUGCAGACCACGGCCAGGGCCCACAGCAGCGACCACCAUGAGCCACUCUGGCACCAUACAAGGACAGACUCGAGGGCAUCCAAGCAAACAGGCCUCACCCCAGAGACGCUGCCUCUGACCCUCGGGAGGGCUCUGGCUCCAUGCCAUCAAACAUGAGCUGAAAAUAUUAACACUCCCCUGUCAUAGCCCCAUCAGAGACAGAAGAGUAUCCAGAAGCCCAGCUGCUAAAGAUCCUCCCCACACCUACCUGCCUUCCUAACUCUCGGAAACCCAAUUACCAUCUGACCCUAUUGAGACAGAGUCAGAAAGUGGGGCAUUUGACUCUGAAACUAGAUGUCAAAGCCAGGCCCAGCCCAGUCCAGCAGAGCUGAGGCAGAGCAGAACUGGGGAAGAAAUAAUGUAGUCUGAUGGACGCUCAAAAAAUCCUACUGAAAAAAAUUACCAAGUUGGAAUCUCUGGAAAAAAUGUCCUCAUUCCAAAUCUGUUCCCCACCCCCAAUGAAUUCUCAUAAAAUGGACCAGAAAAGGAGGAAAAAAAAAAUUAAUGGCUUGCAGGGUCUAUGGGAACUCUCUGUCUCUCUGUACUAUCUUUGCAACUGUUCUGUAAAUCUGAAACUAUUCUAAAAUGUAACAUUUAUAAAAAAUAAUGGCUUAUCACAGUUUCCUCUGUAAGAAACAAUGGGAAAAGGGUGAUCUUUGGGUAUGAAACUCUGCCUCUACCAGCUAUGAAGCUUUGGAUGUGUUGCCUACCCUCUGUAAGCUUCAGUUUUCUCAUCUGUAAAAUGGAGAGAACAGUUCCAACCACGAAGUGCUGUUGUACAGAUUGAGUAAGAUAGUGCAUGCAAAGGACUUAC
rnacentral:lncRNA from 1 species